GGGCGCCGCACGACCCGGCGCCAUUGUCCCGGGCGGGUGAGGUCACAGAGGGCCCCGCGUUCUGUGCCGCGCCGUGUCCUGGACACCGAGCCCCGCCGCGGGGCAGGGAGGUCGGAGGCGCCGCGAUGCACAUGUUCCAGUCCUUUCCAAAAAUAAAAUUAAAUCAAUGAUUAAGUUACUCAAUCAUCGGAUCCAAGUUCUGCACCAGAAGCAUAUGAUGCAUGAACAUAAACUUUCAGAAAAACAAGAUGAAGUGUUAAGCACACCUGUGAAUAUGACAGACA